UACGUAGGUGGCGAGCGUUGUCCGGAAUCACUGGGCGUAAAGCGCGCGCAGGCGGCGAUCUACGUCUGGGGUGAAAGCCCGGGGCUCAACCUCGGGACUGCCUUGGAUACGGGAUCGCUUGAGAAUCGGAGAGGCAAGGGGAAUUCCACGUGUAGCGGUGAAAUGCGUAGAGAUGUGGAGGAACACCUGUGGCGAAGGCGCCUUGCUGGCCGAUUUCUGACGCUGAGGCGCGAAAGCGUGGGGAGCAAACAGG
rnacentral:rRNA from 2 species